CAGAGGUCCCGAGCGUUGUUCGGAUUCACUGGGCGUAAAGGGCGCGCAGGUGGUGAGGUAAGUCGGAUGUGAAAUCUCCGGGCUCAACCCGGAAAUGGCAUUGGAAACUACCUUGCUGGAGGAUUUGAGGGGGGAUUGGAAUACUUGGUGUAGCAGUGAAAUGCGUAGAUAUCAAGUGGAACACCAGUGGCGAAGGCGAAUCCCUGGAAAAUACCUGACACUGAGGCACGAAAGCUAGGGGAGCAAACAGGAUUAGAUACCCUGGUAGUCCUAGCCCUAAACGGUGCUUGCUUGCUGUAAGAGGAAUCGACCCCUCUUGUGGCGGAGCUAACGCGUUAAGCAAGCCGCCUGGGAAGUACGGUCGCAAGAUUA
rnacentral:rRNA from 1 species